rnacentral:lncRNA from 1 species
GACCGCUCAGAGAUGGGGCGAGUUUGCCGCAACGCGUGUGCGUCUCGGAAGGUGGCUUUUUGACCAGGAAUGUCCUUCGUUGUGUACCGAAGGGUUGACCUGGAAGCUUUUUUUUUCCAGUUCCAGUUCUUGUUUCCUUGUUCUGCGUUGAUGUUUUAUACCUACACCGCUCACCGCGAGUUUUCCACCUUCGUUUUGUUUCUGUGCCCGAGACUGAGAGCGUGGACAGGCUGUCUAAAACCACACCGAUCUGUGCUGACCGCCCGCCAGUUCCUGCUCUGUUGGCCGAAAUCCCCAGGUCUGGCUGCGCAAUUCCCCAAAUGCGAAGCUGGAUGACGAAUGCUCUCCCUGUGCCUUGCUCUGCGGGGAUCUGCAGCAAGGUGGCGUGGUGUAGUUGAGAGGACGAGAAAGCGCGAUUCAGGGCAGUCAGCCCGAGGCAGGCGCCGGCUCAGGUCAGCCCUUUUAUUUCGGCCGUCCCUCCGGGACGAAGCCGCGGCUUUUCUGCCUCAUCACGCUGGGGCCCCUGACCGCAGCUGGCACCGCGCGCCGGCGUCCUGAGGGCGGUGAGAAACGCGCGGGGUCCCCCGGGACUCCAGCACCUGAGAGCCUUCGUUGCUCAGCCGCGGGGAGCAGCCGCUCGCUCGCGUCCCGCGGCGAGGCCAUGGCCGGGUCCCAGCUGCCCACAUGUAAU